rnacentral:rRNA from 1 species
UACGUAGGCAGCGAGCGUUGUUCGGAAUUACUGGGCGUAAAGAGUGUGUAGGCGGUGCUCUAAGUUCGGUGUGAAAUCUCCCGGCUUAACUGGGAGGGUGCGCCGGAAACUGCCGUGCUAGAGUGCGGGAGAGGCGAGUGGAAUUGCAGGUGUAGCGGUGAAAUGCGUAGAUAUCUGCAGGAACACCCGUGGCGAAGGCGGCCAUCUGGGACAACACUGACGCUGAGGCACGAAAGCGUGGGGAGCAAACAGG